AUGCCGCCUUCCUUUCAAGAGAUCGUCGACGUCGGCACAACCGACAGGGUGCCCUGGGCGUGUGAUGCUGGGACUGUUAAAGUAGCUUCUAUGCUAGUUUGCAAUUGUGCACUUGCUGUUCAAGGGUACCGAGGAAGAGGGGGACUAGAUGAUGGGGAGGGUAGCUGCCUGCAGCCUGAUGCAUCACAUUUGGAAGGAAGCAACCCGGCGGACAAGGAGAUGCCAUCAUCAUAUAUACGCCUUGGUCGAGCUAUCUUUGCCAGUCUAAGUCUCAAUCUGGUUUGGCUGGAUCAACUUGGACGCCCAAGUGGAGGACGGGGGAGACCACAUUGA
rnacentral:rRNA from 1 species